GUGGGGAAUAUUGGACAAUGGGCGGAAGCCUGAUCCAGCCAUGCCGCGUGUGUGAAGAAGGCCUUUUGGUUGUAAAGCACUUUAAGCGAGGAGGAGGCUCCUUUAGUUAAUACCUAAAGUGAGUGGACGUUACUCGCAGAAUAAGCACCGGCUAACUCUGUGCCAGCAGCCGCGGUAAUACAGAGGGUGCGAGCGUUAAUCGGAUUUACUGGGCGUAAAGCGUGCGUAGGCGGCUUUUUAAGUCGGAUGUGAAAUCCCUGAGCUUAACUUAGGAAUUGCAUUCGAUACUGGGAAGCUAGAGUAUGGGAGAGGAUGGUAGAAUUCCAGGUGUAGCGGUGAAAUGCGUAGAGAUCUGGAGGAAUACCGAUGGCGAAGGCAGCCAUCUGGCCUAAUACUGACGCUGAGGUACGAAAGCAUGGGGAGCAAACAGGAUUAGAAACCCGUGUAGUCC
rnacentral:rRNA from 1 species